rnacentral:rRNA from 1 species
ACGAACGCUGGCGGCGUGCUUAACACAUGCAGGUCGAACGGAAAGGCCCUGCUUUUGUGGGGUGCUCGAGUGGCGAACGGGUGAGUAACACGUGAGUAACCUGCCCUUGACUUUGGGAUAACUUCAGGAAACUGGGGCUAAUACCGGAUAGGAGCUCCUGCUGCAUGGUGGGGGUUGGAAAGUUUCGGCGGUUGGGGAUGGACUCGCGGCUUAUCAGCUUGUUGGUGGGGUAGUGGCUUACCAAGGCUUUGACGGGUAGCCGGCCUGAGAGGGUGACCGGCCACAUUGGGACUGAGAUACGGCCCAGACUCCUACGGGAGGCAGCAGUGGGGAAUAUUGCACAAUGGGCGGAAGCCUGAUGCAGCAACGCCGCGUGCGGGGUGACGGCCUUCGGGUUGUAAACCGCUUUCGCCUGUGACGAAGCGUGAGUGACGGUAAUGGGUAAAGAAGCACCGGCUAACUACGUG